UACGUAGGGUGCGAGCGUUGUCUGGAAUUACUGGGCGUAAAGAGCUCGUAGGUGGUUUGUCGCGUCGUCUGUGAAAUUCCGGGGCUUAACUUCGGGCGUGCAGGCGAUACGGGCAAUACUUGAGUGCUGUAGGGGAGACUGGAAUUCCUGGUGUAGCGGUGAAAUGCGCAGAUAUCAGGAGGAACACCAAUGGCGAAGGCAGGUCUCUGGGCAGUUACUGACGCUGAGGAGCGAAAGCGUGGGGAGCAAACGGGGAUUAGAUA
rnacentral:rRNA from 1 species